GUGCUUGCUUCUGCAGCACAUAUACUAAAAUUGGAACGAUACAGAGAAGAUGAGCAUGGCCCCUGCACAAGGAUGACAACAUUGUAUAGGAGAUUAUUAGAUGUUGU